CUACGGGUCGCUCCAGUGGGGAAUAUUGGGCAAUGGGCGCAAGCCUGACCCAGCAACGCCGCGUGAGGGAAGAAGGUUUUCGGAUUGUAAACCUCUGUCCUUGGGGACGAAGAAGUGACGGUACCCAAGGAGGAAGCUCCGGCUAACUACGUGCCAGCAGCCGCGGUAAUACGUAGGGAGCAAGCGUUGUCCGGAAUUACUGGGCGUAAAGGGUGCGUAGGCGGCAUAUUAAGUCAGGUGUGAAAUACUCGGGCUCAACCCGGGGGCUGCAUUUGAAACUGAUAUGCUUGAGUAUGAGAGAGGAAAGUGGAAUUCCUAGUGUAGCGGUGGAAUGCGUAGAUAUUAGGAGGAACACCAGUGGCGAAGGCGACUUUCUGGCUCAUAACUGACGCUGAGGCACGAAAGCGUGGGGAGCAAACAGGAUUAGAUACCCCCGUAGUC
rnacentral:rRNA from 1 species